rnacentral:rRNA from 1 species
AGCUGAUGCAGCGACGCCGCGUGAGGGAUGACGGCCUUCGGGUUGUAAACCUCUUUCAGUAGGGAAGAAGCGCAAGUGACGGUACCUGCAGAAGAAGCGCCGGCUAACUACGUGCCAGCAGCCGCGGUAAUACGUAGGGCGCAAGCGUUGUCCGGAAUUAUUGGGCGUAAAGAGCUCGUAGGCGGUUUGUCGCGUCCGCUGUGAAAGCCCGGGGCUCAACCCCGGGUCGGCAGUGGGUACGGGCAGACUAGAGUGCAGUAGGGGAGACUGGAAUUCCUGGUGUAGCGGUGAAAUGCGCAGAUAUCAGGAGGAACACCGAUGGCGAAGGCAGGUCUCUGGGCUGUUACUGACGCUGAGGAGCGAAAGCAUGGGGAGCGAACAGGAUUAGAUACCCUGGUAGUCCAUGCCGUAAACGUUGGGCACUAGGUGUGGGGGACAUUCCACGUCCUCCGCGCCGUAGCUAACGCAUUAAGUGCCCCGCCUGGGGAGUACGGCCGCAAGGCUAAAACUCAAAG